CACACACACUCACCACACACAUGCACACAUACAUUUCAGAAUGAUCCAGCUUUGUUGCAUUGCUCUGCAAAAAUACUCUGUUCCUAUCCCCUGUCUCUCGUCCACAUUGAUACAAAUCAUAAAUUGAUAAGGUACUAAGAUGUAGAAUGUCUCCAUCAAAUCCAAUAAGAGUGGGAGCUGAUCAAGGGGUCGAAAAUGUAGAUAUUGCCAGAUGUAUGUUCACUGUCCGAGGAACUGGCCGUGGAAGCUUAAUUGCUGGGUAAAGUGUCCAUAACCAGAGAUUCAGUAUGUGAAGGACCUGCUUUAUCAGGAGAAUCAUCUGGAAUCUGGAAACACUGACAAUGGGGUCACUGUUCCUGACAUCCCAUAUGCCCCCUGUCUACUGAGAAUCUUGAUGUGCUGCAACGUCAAGUGAACCCAACCACUGGACUUAUACAGCUCUGGAAAAAAUUAAGAGACCACUGCAAAAUGAUCAAUUUCUCUGGUUUUACUAUUUAUAGCUCUGUGUUUGGGUCCAAAUUUCACAGUGGGUGCGAGACACUGUGGCUUGUAGGCCCCUUGUAGGCCUCUCCAGGUGUCGUACCCACUGUGACAUUUGGUUGUCCUGGAAGAAAACUUGCUUCCUUCUGCGCUGACAAUGUUCCCCAACUCUGAGGAUUGUUUUUUCCAACAGGACAAUGCUUCACGCCACACAGCCAGGUCAAUCAAGGUGUGGAUGGAGGACCACCAGAUCAAGACCCUGUCAUGGACAGCCCAAUCUCCAGACCGGAACCCCAUUGAACACCUCUGGAAUGUGAUCAAGAGGAAGAUGGAUGGUCACAAGCCAUCAAACAAAGCCGAGCUGCUUGGAUCUUUGCGCCAGGAGUGGCAUAAAGUCACCCAACAUCAAUGUGAAAGAGCAGGCCAAGACGCAUGAAAGCUGUGAUUGAAAAUCAGUGUUAUUCCACCAAAUAUUGAUUUCUGAACUCUUCCCAAGUUAAAACAUUAGUAUUGUGUUGUUUAAAAUGAAUAUGAACUCAUUUCCUUUGCAUUAUUGGAGGUCUGACAACACUGCAUCUUUUUAUAUUUUGAUCAGUGUCACGACUUCUGCCGAAGUCGUUGCCUCUCCUUGUUCGGGCGGAGCUCGGCGUUCGACUUCACCGGUCUUCUAGCCAUCAUUGAUCCAUUUUUCAUUUUCCAUUGGUUUUGUCUUGUCUUCCCAAACACCUGUUUUCAAUCCCAUUCAUUACCUGUUCUGUAUUUAACCCUCUGUUUCCCCUCAUGUCUUUGUCAGAGAUUGUUUAUUGUCAGUGUAGUGUUUUUUGUUGUAUAGGUGGGUCUUCGUACCCAUAUUUGUUUAUGUUCUUUUCCUGUUUAGUGUUAUGGAGCAUGUUACUGGGACAUUAUUAAAAGACUCCAUUUUACACUA